AGUAACCUGCCUUGGAGUGGGGAAGUAACAGUCGGAAACGACUGCUAAUACCGCAUGAUGCAUUUGGGCUGCAUGGCUCUGAAUGCCAAAGAUUUAUCGCUCUGAGAUGGACUCGCGUCUGAUUAGCUAGUUGGUGAGGUAACGGCUCACCAAGGCGACGAUCCAUAGCCGGCCUGAGAGGGUGAACGGCCACAUUGGGACUGAGACACGGCCCAGACUCCUACGGGAGGCAGCAUG
rnacentral:rRNA from 1 species